ACGGAGACUGCGAGCGUUACUCGGAUUUACUGGGCGUAAAGGGUCCGUAGGCGGACAUGUGUGUCGGGUGUGAAAUCCUGCAGCUCAACUGCAGAACUGCGCCCGAAACUAUAUGUCUAGAGUAUUGGAGAGGUGAGUGGAAUUCCUGGUGUAGCGGUGAAAUGCGUAGAUAUCAGGAGGAACACCAACGGCGAAGGCAGCUCACUGGACAAUUACUGACGCUGAGGGACGAAAGCAUGGGUAGCGAAAGGG
rnacentral:rRNA from 1 species